rnacentral:rRNA from 1 species
UGGGGAAUUUUACACAAUGGGGGAAACCCUGAUGUAGCAACGCCGCGUGGAGGAUGAAUGAUUUCGGUCUGUAAACUCCUUUUCUACAAGAAGAUUAUGACGGUAUUGUAGGAAUAAGCAUCGGCUAACUCCGUGCCAGCAGCCGCGGUAAUACGGAGGAUGCAAGCGUUACUCGGAAUCACUGGGCGUAAAGCGAGCGUAGGCGGUCUAUUAAGUCUCGUGUGAAAUCCAUCGGCUUAACCGAUGAACUGCAUGGGAAACUGCUAGACUAGAGUAUGGGAGAGGUGGAUGGAAUUCCCGGUGUAGGGGUAAAAUCCGUAGAGAUCGGGAGGAAUACCCAUAGCGAAGGCGAUCCGCUGGAACUUUACUGACGCUGAGGCUCGAAAGCGUGGGUAGCAAA